rnacentral:lncRNA from 1 species
UCUCCCCGCCGCGGUCUCCUCCCAAGGCCCAUCUCCCCGCCGGUUGGGGCUCUCGUUCUCCCUGGCCGGCCUGGUGGUGCUGAGACCUGGAGUAGAGACGAAAGCUUCUCAUUCCGUCGUUAAGACCGCAGCCCCUUCAGGACUUGGGUCCUCAGGUCGGCUCAGGGCAGCACAGGUGACUCCAACGGGGAACUUCUUUCCUUCUGCACCUGUCCUUUGACAGGUCCUGUAAUCUUCAGGCCCGCCUCCUGCUUAUUGACUUCAACACCCUAACGUUUGUUUCAUCGAACUUGUGUUCGGUUUUCAACUUUUCAGAAUAACCAUGGAGUUGUAAACACAUCCUUUCAGUGGAUGCUUCUCUAAUAGAAUAACUGCUUGUCCAAAUGCGGUUCCCAGGCCCCAGCACCAGAGGGUCUGACUCAGAAGAUCCGCUUAAGCCUUCAGCUGACUCCUCUGUCAGCGAUCCACACCCUACAUUUCCGGAGAGCAGGGGCCAUGUCCAGACCCUACGCCACUGUCUCCCAGCCCCAAGCCAAGCUCCUGACACAUCACAAAUACAGUUGGAGGAGCAGGUGUGACCAGGUAGCCCUAAGUCAUCCAGCCCCGUGGAGUCCCUACUUAUACUAUCUGAGACCUGACUCCACAUUCCAGAAUCUCUGGGAAGCCCAGUGUGCUGGCCGGUGUGUCUGAGAAGCUGGGGGGUGGGGGACACCUCCCUUUCUUGGGCCCUGCCCCAUUGUCCACCCGGGUUGGCAUUUGCCUCCAGCACUCCACUUGUCUGUCCCAGCUUCACUCCAGGCAAGCAUGCCCUUCAUCUCACCUCCCAAGACAGAGUUCUGAAUUUAACAGCCUUUACUGACGGCACAGUGAAAAAGGGAGAGAGAUCUCAGUAGGAAACAGAAGAUAGCCUUAAAUAACCUGAAGUUAAAUAUCACAUAUCACUGUCCUGAGUUUUGCAGACAACUUUGCCACAAGGAAUCAGCCUCCUGGGCACCUUAUCCACCACUCUAAGGGAAACCACCUCUCUGUCAAGGGCCUUUCCAGGCCUCGCCUUCUCUCCUCCUUGGUACCCACCUCCAGAGAUGGCUUCUGAGACAGGACAGGAGACAGCAUCACUGACACAGGCCACCUCACGGCCCUUCACACUAGCGCUUGUGAUGAGUAUUGCAGGGAGCAUGCUUUGUUAUAGCUGAUGUUUUUCAACUACUUUUACAAAACCAAAACUUGGUUAAACAGAAACACCCUUGCGUUCGAGUAAGUUGAGCUCUUGGUGCACAGAAAUGAAUGGUACAUUUUAAUGUCCCUACUUGUAAGGCCAUUCACAUCGAUACCUUACGGGAUCUGGACAGCCAGCCAUGACCAGAUACUGCCCUUUUCUAUCCAGGGAGAGGAAGAGGAAGCUUCCCUGGGGACAGUCACUUCCAGAAGAGCUCUGUUUAUAAAUCUGUCUUAACAGUUACAGUUCCAUGCAGCUUCAGCGCGAAUGACAGUACACUCGCUGCCGUUUAUGAAUCUAUCCUAACAGUUGCAGUUCUGUCCAGCUUCAACGUGAAUGACUGUACACUAGCUGCGGGACAGCGGUGAAACCACAUGAGGGGAAAUUCAGUAUUAGCUUGUAAGAGAAAAAGGCGGUACUUCUGGAUCAGUAGGAGACAGCGCAAUAGCAAAACAACUAUACUGGCCUCAUCCUGAAAGCACAUAAAGGGCAGCAAUUUACCAAUUAACCUCUUGAUAAAGAACAUCUCCAAAAUCCAUACUUCGCAUUGUACCGACGCUGUCUGAAGCCAUCUAAGGAAACAGGCCAGGACGUUGCUCUCCCUGCCCAUUCAGCAGAGCGCCGGAGGUUCUAGCCAGGGCAACUGGGCAAGAAUAAAAAGGAAGUUAGAGGCGUACAGAUGGGAAAGGAAGAGAUGAGACUGUCGGGAUGUGGAAGAGCCAAAGCAAUCGGAAAAAAAAAAAAAAAACUAGAAUUCAGCAAGAUUGCAGGAUAGAAAAUCAACCCAAAACUAGCUGUGUUUCUUGGUACCAACAACGAAAAUGUAGAAACAAGAAGAAUGCAAUACCAUUUACAGUUGCUCCAAAAAAUACAUAGAGUUCCCGUCGUGGCUCAGUGGUUAACAAAUCCAACGAGGAACCAUGAGGUUGCGGGUUUGAUUCCUGGCCUUGCUCAGUGGAUUGAGGAUCCGGCGUUGCCGUGAGCUGUUGUGCUGGUUGCAGACGUGGCUUGGAUCCCGUGUUGCUGUGGCUGUGGAGUAGGCCAGUGGCUAAGGCUCUGAUUGGACCCCUAGCCUGGGAAUUUCCAUAUGCCAUGGAGUGGCCCUAGAAAAGGCAAGAACACACACACACAAUGCUUAGGUAUAAAUCUAGCAAAACACCAAUAGGAUCUAUAUGCUGAAAACAGGAAACACCUGUGAAAGAAGUCAAAGAACCCCUGGGUGAGUCCCCAUGGAGAGACUGUCCAUGGGCUGGAAAACUUAACAGACCAACGAUGCCAGCUCUCCCCAAAUUGAUCUAUAGUUUUAAUGCAGUUCCUGCCAAAGCAUUUUUGGUAGACAUAGACAAGCUUGUCACAACAUUUAUGUGGCAUGUAAGGGCCCUAGGAUAGCCACGGUCAUUUGCAGAAAGAAGAGUGGGGUGGGAGGAAUCCGUCAUUCUUCCGGUGUCACAGGUUUGCUCUGUGACCACGGUACUUAAGAUGGCACUGGCAGAGGGGUAGACGUAGAUCAGAGGGUCCAGAAAUAAACCAGCGCUAGUGUUCCCAGCUGAUGCUUCACACAGGUGCAAAUGCCAAUCGAUAAAAGGUCUGUGGCUUUUUCGACAAGUGAUGUAGCGACUGGACAUCCAGGGACGAAAACAUGAGCCUCAAUGUGACUUUCGCACCUCAUACAAAACUAACUCAAGAUGGGUCUUGGGUUUAAUUGUAAAUUAAAACUAUAAAGCUUUUAGGGGGAAAAAAGGCAUUAAGGAGUUCCCUUGUGCACAGCAGGUGAAGGAUCUGGCAUCACCACAGUGGCGUGGAUCACUGCUGAGGCAUCGGCUCGAUCCCUGGCCUGGAAACUUCUGCAGGCCACAGGCAUCGCUAAAAGAGAAAAAGGCAUUGAAUAAAACCUCCAGAACCUAGGAGCAGGGGGAGAAUUCUUGGCUAUGACGUCAAGAGCAUAGUACAUGAAAUGGAAAAUGGGUAAAUUAGAUCUCACCAAAAUAAAAGUUUUGCUCUGUGAGAAACCCUGAGAGGAUGAAAAGGCACACGGUGGGGGUGGGGUGGGGGUACCUGCCAAGGACGUAUAUGACGAAGUGCUGGCAUCUAGAACACAUAAAUCUCAAGACUGAACCUAAGACUCCAUUAGAAAUUGGGCAAAAGACAUGAACAGACUUUUCACUGAAGAAGACCUACAGAUGGCCGAUAAAUAACAUGAAAAAAAGGCUAACAUCAUCAGCCAUUCGCGAAACGUAACUUGAGCCCACCGUGAGGGACCGCUGUCCGCUAAGUCGGAAAGGCCAAAUGGAAAGAGUGGCAACCCCAAAUGCUGGAGGAGAUUGCAGGGGUGAACAGCUACACAAAGUGUGGGGCGUUCAUACCACGGAACACUGGUCAGCAGUAAAAGCUGAUGAACUGUUGAUCCAUGCAGCAGCCUGGCGGACCUCCGAAGAAUUACGCUGAAUGGAAAAAGCCAACCUCAAAAGAUUGCAUACAGUCUAAUUCUGCUGGUGUUACAACCCUAAAGUAACAAAACUGUGGAGAUCGAGAAAAGAUUUGUGGACACAGAGGCUAGGAAAUGGGGUGUGUGUGAUGGGACCGUUAACGUAUCUUGGUGGCGGUGGCGGUCCACAAAGCUGCGCGGGCGAUAACACUGCAUAGAGCUGCGUGUGUAGGUGCACACACACACACACAAAUGUGCAUGCACAUGGGCGAAUGCCUGUAUAACUGGUAGAGGCAUGUGGAUUGCAGCAAAGCCAGCACCCAUGGUGGGGGCUGUCCCCUGGUCAUGAGGAUGGUGGUGUUGGGAAAACAGGUGCAGUGUGCUCAGAACCCCCUUCUAGCUUUCUUUGUGGUGGUGUUUUGUUUUUUUAGUUAAAUAAAUGUAUUUGUAGG